AUUUAAGUAGUAUAAUUAAUACAAUAUGUUUUCAACAUAUAGAUGGGCCUGGCCUCUUAAAUAU
rnacentral:tRNA from 1 species